rnacentral:rRNA from 1 species
GAUGAACGCUAGCUACAGGCUUAACACAUGCAAGUCGCGGGGUAACAUCUGGGAGAGCUUGCUCUUCCAGGAUGACGACCGGCGCACGGGUGAGUAACGCGUAUCCAACCUGGCCUCUACUCCGGAACAGCCCGUCGAAAGACGGAUUAAUGCCGGAUGGUGUCACAUGCCCGCAUGAGUGUGUGACUAAAGGCAACGGUAGAGGAUGGGGAUGCGACUGAUUAGCUUGUUGGCGGGGUAACGGCCCACCAAGGCUACGAUCAGUAGGGGUUCUGAGAGGAAGGUCCCCCACAUUGGAACUGAGACACGGUCCAAACUCCUACGGGAGGCAGCAGUGAGGAAUAUUGGUCAAUGGGCGAGAGCCUGAACCAGCCAAGUAGCGUGCGGGACGACGGCCCUAUGGGGUUGUAAACCGCUUUUGAUUGGGAACAAAGAGCGCCACGUGUGGUGCGUUGCGUGUACCUUUCGAAUAAGCAUCGGCUAAUUCCGUGCCAGCA